rnacentral:miRNA from 1 species
CAGCACUCCAGAUGUUUUGGACUACACCUCCUAUGAUGCGUUGUCAGCAUUAUGGGGGAUGUAGUCCACAACAUCUGGAGUGCCA